GCACCGACUCAAGCACUUGGCCGGGAAACAAACAGUCAAGCACUGAGAGCGGACUCAGCUGGAAGUGCCUCUGGACUCGCUAUGGAAGCGCUGCAAACUACAACAAAGAUGACGGGGACAAGACGCAGUCGAAGUGGAGGCACAUAAAUAGGACCGCCCACAAAACGGCGCAUCCUGAAGAGACGGUCAUAAAGCGGCUUGAAGAUGCGUGAUCCACCU